rnacentral:rRNA from 1 species
GUCCUUAACUGACGCUAAAGCUCGAAAGUGCGGGUAUCGAACAGGAUUAGAUACCCUGGUAGUCCGCACGGUAAACGAUGGAUGCCCGCUGUUGGCGAUAUAAUGUCAGCGGCCAAGUGAAAACGUUAAGCAUCCCACCUGGGGAGUACGCCGGCAACGGUGAAACUCAAAGGAAUUGACGGGGGCCCGCACAAGCGGAGGAACAUGUGGUUUAAUUCGAUGAUACGCGAGGAACCUUACCCGGGCUUGAACUGCAGCCGAACGAUAGAGAGAUCUUGAGGUCCUUCGGGACGGCUGUGGAGGUGCUGCAUGGUUGUCGUCAGCUCGUGCCGUGAGGUGUCGGCUUAAGUGCCAUAACGAGCGCAACCCCUUUCAUUAGUUGCCAUCAGGUUAAGCUGGGCACUCUAGUGACACUGCCACCGUAAGGUGUGAGGAAGGUGGGGAUGACGUCAAAUCAGCACGGCCCUUACGUCCGGGGCUACACACGUGUUACAAUGGGUGGUACAGAGAGUCGGUGCAAUGCAAAUUGUAUCCAAUCAUGAAAGCCAUCCUCAGUUCGGAUUGGGGUCUGCAACCCGACCCCAUGAAGCUGGAUUCGCUA